rnacentral:rRNA from 1 species
ACCGGCGCACGGGUGAGUAACGCGUAUCCAACCUGCCCCACGGUGAGGGAUAACCCGCGGAAACGCGGCCUAAUACCUCAUGGUGGGAUGGGGAUGCGUCUGAUUAGCUUGUUGGCGGGGCAACGGCCCACCAAGGCAACGAUCAGUAGGGGUUCUGAGAGGAAAGCCCCCCACAUUGGAACUGAGACACGGUCCAAACUCCUACGGGAGGCAGCAGUAAGGAAUAUUGGUCAAUGGGCGAGAGCCUGAACCAGCCAAGUAGCGUGCAGGACGACGGCCUAUGGGUUGUAAACUGCUUUUAUGCGGGGAUAGGUACCGCAUGAAUAAGGACCGGCUAAUUCCGUGCCAGCAGCCGCGGUAAUACGGAAGGUCCGGGCGUUAUCCGGAUUUAUUGGGUUUAAAGGGAGCGCAGGCCGGGUAUUAAGCGUGUUGUGAAAUGUAGGCGCCCAACGUCUGCACCGCAGCGCGAACUGGUGCCCUUGAGUACGCACGACGUUGGCGGAAUUCGCCGUGUAGCGGUGAAAUGCUUAGAUAUGGCGAAGAACUCCGAUUGCGAAGGCAGCUGACGGGAGCGCUACUGACGCUCAUGCUCGAAAGC